rnacentral:rRNA from 1 species
UACGUAGGGGGCUAGCGUUGUCCGGAAUCAUUGGGCGUAAAGCGCGUGUAGGCGGCUAAGUAAGUCGGGCGUGAAAUCCCACGGCUCAACCGUGGAAGUGCACUCGAAACUGCAUAGCUAGAGUCCUGGAGAGGAAGGUGGAAUGCUUGGUGUAGAGGUGAAAUUCGUAGAUAUCAAGCGGAACACCGGUGGCGAAGGCGGCCUUCUGGACAGUGACUGACGCUGAGACGCGAAAGCGUGGGGAGCAAACAGG